GGGGAAUAUUGCGCAAUGGAGAAGAACUCUGACGCAGCAAUACCGCGUGAGCGAAGAAGGUCUUCGGAUCGUAAAGCUCUGUUAUCAGGGAAGAAGAAAAUGACGGUACCUGAUGAGCAAGUCCCGGCUAACUACGUGCCAGCAGCCGCGGUAAUACGUAGGGGACAAGCGUUGUCCGGAAUCACUGGGCGUAAAGGGCGCGCAGGCGGUGAUUUAAGCAGGAUGUGAAAGGCUACGGCUCAACCGUAGACAUGCACCCUGAACUGGGUCACUUGAGUAUUGGAGAGGCAGGCAGAAUUCCUGGUGUAGCGGUGAGAUGCGUAGAUAUCAGGAGGAAUACCGGAGGCGAAGGCGGCCUGCUGGACAAAUACUGACGCUGAGGCGCGAAAGCGUGGGGAGCAAAC
rnacentral:rRNA from 1 species